CGGCCAUGUUCCCUCUGGCCGCGUCCCGCCAGCCCUGAGCGAGAGCACACAACUAUGCGUUUCUAGUGGCCACCUGGGGCCUGCUGCAGACUGCCUGGGCUCCAAAGGACUAUGAAGCAGAAACUCUGGGCACUGGCUUUUGUUUUGGUCCUGCUGAAGACAUGGUGGGACUUUUACCAUGGCUCUCCAGCAUCUAUCCCCCUGAACUUCACCAGAAGCAUCCUGACUCGACUUCAGGAACCCUUCCCAACUGUGCAGCAACCCAUGGCUGCACAUCCCGAGGAUGCAUAAACCAUCAGCAUAAUCCUAUCCCCUGACCAGGAUACUGGUUUAGGAAUGGGUAUAUGUCCUUGACUUUUCAGUUAGGAGGAAACUCAGGACUUCUGGUCAAUGGUAGGGAAGAGGGAUACUUUCCUCCCACGCCCUAUCUCAUCACUCCAAAAGACUUAAAAUGUGUAGUCCUGCUAAUAGUGGCAGCUGUCCUGAGAGUGUGAAGGGAAAGCCUGCCUGAAAGUGGAAACAAGAAACAGGGCAAGGAGAGGGAAGACCGUAUUCUGGCCACAUCACUGAAACUUUACUUGAAUCUUGGACAGUUCAGUUACAUGAGCCAAUACAUUUCAUUUCUGAUUAAAUUGUUAUAAGUGCUUUUGAUUGCAAACAAGAGAAUAAUAAAAAAAAGUUAUAUGAGCAUAUAGAAUGCAUCAGGCAUUGUGCUAAGGAAUUAAUAGGUGAAAAAGACAUGGCUUCUGCCCCUGUGGAAACCAGGGGAUAAAUAAUACAACUGUGAUGAGGAUUAUAAAGGAGAAACACCAGGUUCUGUGAGAACACUGUGUAUUUAAGCAACUGAGAAAAACCCAGUGCAACUUGAGUAAAGAGAAGAUUAGAAGUCAGUUGGAAGAAUCAGGGGCCAGAGAGCGCUGGUGACAAAAAUGUGACCAAAAUAUAAAAAGGGGAGAGGGCUUAGGAGGUUUCACAGUGAGCUCAAAGACUUAGGUCAGAAUGG